rnacentral:rRNA from 1 species
AUUGAACGCUGGCGGCAUGCCUUACACAUGCAAGUCGAACGGCAGCACGGGAGCAAUCCUGGUGGCGAGUGGCGAACGGGUGAGUAAAGUAUCGGAACGUGCCCAGUCGUGGGGGAUAACGUAGCGAAAGUUACGCUAAUACCGCAUACGAUCUAUGGAUGGAAGCGGGGGAUCGCAAGACCUUGCGCGAUUGGAGCGGCCGAUAUCAGAUUAGGUAGUUGGUGGGGUAAAGGCUCACCAAGCCGACGAUCUGUAGCUGGUCUGAGAGGACGACCAGCCACACUGGGACUGAGACACGGCCCAGACUCCUACGGGAGGCAGCAGUGGGGAAUUUUGGACAAUGGGCGAAUGCCUGAUCCAGCCAUGCCGCGUGCAGGAUGAAGGCCUUCGGGUUGUAAACUGCUUUUGUACGGAACGAAAAGGUUUGGCCUAAUAAGCUGAGCUCAUGACGGUACCGUAAGAAUAAGCACCGGCUAACUACGUGCCAGCCGCCGCGGUAA